rnacentral:SRP_RNA from 2 species
GCCGGGCGUGCUGGCGCAUGCCUGUAAUCCCAGCUACUUGGGAGGCUAAGGCAUGAGAAUCACUUGAACCCAGGAGGUGGAGAUUGUAGUGAGCCGAGAUCAUGCCACUGCACUCCAGCCUGGGCAACAGAGUGAGACCCUGUCUUUA